AAUAAUAUAUUUAGAAAAUAGCUCGGCAUUACGGAUAUUGACACGGAACACAGAAGACAAUUUUCAAAAAAAUUAAGACACAGACAUGAUAUGAACACCGCUAAUAAAAUAUAAUAUUAUUAAUAUAAUAAUACAUAUUUAUUAUAAAUAAAAUAUUAAUAUUUUGUAAAAUAUUAUUAUAUUUCUUAUACGGAAAAUUAGUAAAUUUUUAUUGAUAGUUUAUAUAUUUUAAGAAAUAAAAUUCUCUCCCAGACAAAAUUUAUUUACAUUAUUAAAAAAAAUUAUAUGCAUUCAUUAAAAAAUUAAAAAAUUUAUCAUCUUACAUCAUAUAUGCAUAAAAAAAGUGAAAUAGAAAUGUCUAUAUAAUUUUUUUAAGGUAAUUAUAUGUGCUAUAGAUUGGUAUUAAAUACGCGUUUUCGAUAUGGACACACGUGGGGCUUAUAACAAUGCCCGUGAUAUAUAGGAAAAUAGCCAAAUCCCCAUUAUCUACUCCACUAAUUAAAACUUUAGGAAGAAAAUAUUUUCUAACCCAUGUUAUAUAUAUAUAUAUCAAUUCUCUAUAUAUAGAGUCCGGCUAUGAUACUUGUAAAAGUACUAAGCACUUAGUGCUUGUGAAUAUUUUACCGUUAGAUCUACGUCUUUGAUCAUUUUCACCCGUUAGAUUAUACUAUUCAACCAACCACCCACUCAACCCAAGGGGGCUCACAUCAUCCUAACCGCACAUCUAUUAAUCCAAGGGCUAAAAACUUACAAGCACAAAUGACUUGGUACUUUUAAAAGCAUAGGAGCUCAAUUCUCUCUCUCUCUCUCUCUCUCUCUCUCUCUCUCUCUCUAUAUAUAUAUAUAUAUAUAUAUAUAUAGUGAGAGAGAGAGUAGGUGUUGUGUGCUAUUAGAAGUACGGAGGCUUUCGUGCUCCUAAGCCGUUUUCGAUCAUAGAGUUUCCGAAUCGAUGAUCGGCUUCGUUAGACUUGAUCUAGCAUAUAUGAAGUAUUUAGAAAAUAACUUUUGCGAUAUUUCGAUAUCAUUUACCUAGCGAUCAAAAGGGUUCAAAAUCAACGGCUGAAAAUAAAAAUCUCAAAAAAAGUUGUGAUAUAAUAUUAAAAUUUUCGAUCAGAGAUAUUGAUCUUCCUGUAAAUAGUAUAAAAAAUUUUCUAUCAAAAUUUUAUCUGAUUUGAAUACUUUUACACUAUUAAAUUUGCAAAUGGUAUACAUUAAUCAUUAAAAAUUGUUGAUUUUGAGCCCUUUUGAUCGCUAGGUAAAUGAUAUCAAAAAAUCACAAAAUUUAUUUUAUAAAUAUUUCAAAUAUGUUAGAUUAAGUCUAACAUGGCCGAUUGUUGAUUCGAAA
rnacentral:lncRNA from 1 species